rnacentral:ncRNA from 1 species
CUUAUCUAGGUUUGUGGUUGCGGAUGUGCGAAACAUCCUAGUCCAUGGCAGACGAGGUCAAAAGGAUCCACGUAAAUAGCUGCGUGCGCGCAACUAUGAGCAUGGCUCGUCCUAGGGGUUAGUCAUACCGCUUGUUAUACUCAAAAGGCAUCCCGCCUUGCAAGCGAGAGAGCUUCCAGUAUGGAUGCUGCGGCACACCAGCGAAGGCUCCAGUAUGCGAGUGUGGGGUCAAAUACCAGGUCAACUAGGUAAG